GUUGGAAGUGAGGGGUGUGUCACCGAAGUCUGCUAUAUUGGUGGUGAUGGUGACAAGGAACCACACAUGAAACUUUUUCCCUGCGUGAAAACUGAUUAUGAUCCUUCGAAAGUCAGACCCAGAAGUGGGGGGCGGGAGAUUCUUUUUUGAAGUGUCACCUUCAAAAACUGUAACGGAAUGAAUCACCACCCCCUGGCAACCCCAAACGUGUCUUCUCAGUUUCUGUAUCCUCAUAGAUUACCUGGCUGCUGCCCAGAGGACAAGGCAGAAAGUAGAACUUAAGAUGUAUUUGGAAAAAGGAAGAAUCCAUGGCCUUAGUAGGAAAAAAAUGAAUCUUAAACCAUGGAGCAAGGAGACACUGGUAUGAUGCCUCAUGGGGAGGUGGGAGAAGUGAAAUGGUGGAGAAGUAACUUGCCCCAGUUUAUCAUCUGAUAGCUUCAGAGAACCAAGUUUUAUAAUAAUAGCAGCAGCAGCAACAAAAGCAAUAACAAAAUUAAAAAGAUGAAAAUAAAAAAAUCAAUAAAACAAAUUAACACAUACAAAAAAAAAUCUCAUAUGGAAUGUUUUACACUCAUGAAUCCUCAUCUCUGCAGUUUUCAGCCAGAUUUUAAUAACCCAGCUGUCCAGAGGUGAGAAGCUAAUGAGGACAUAAGGAAUUCCUGGAUGGAAAAACGACAGUUGGCCCAAUGAGUCUGUCUCCUUCAAGUAUAUUGCAACACACCUCUCUGUAUUGUCAGUAUAUCUUCCAACCCCUUCUGUCUAUAUAAACAUGUCUAGUUGUCUCUUAAACUAACUAAUAUGUUAUGUUUCACUCAAUGUACUUAUUUGGCAACUUACUGUACGUUUCAUGUGCAUUAUUUCUUUUUGCGUAAAAUAGGUUUAUGCUCUCUCUGUUUCCUAAGAAGUAUCAAAUAAGAUAAUCUUUCUAAAAAGCACUUAGUACAAUACCUGGUACAUAGCAGAUAUUAUAUACAUGCUUAUUCCCUUUUCUACUAAUUAAUAAAUUUUUAUAAACAUUACUUUCAAUAUUACUAGCAGUUUUACAAUUGAUAUGAUAAGAGACUUGAAAGAAAUUAACUUGAAGAAAUGUAAAAUUGUGGUGAAUUUAUAAGGAAAAACUUAUUCCUUUAUUAAAUCAUGUUGCAGUUUUACUUGCGGUGUGAAAAAAAUGAAAGUGAACAAGCUGGUAAAAUACUAUAGUUUCUCCCUCCACCCCAAAAUCCACUGAGAAUGUUCAAAUGAGAUAAUAAAGAAA